GCCACUAUGGUAAGCAUGUAUAAGAGCGUCCAGCCAUGGUGUAUCUAUUGUUCCUGUUCCAAGGAAAUGUUGCUCCUCGCAUAGGAACAUAAUUUUCAGCGAAGAAAAAUAUGUUGCGAUUCUCCAGCUGAUAUUCUUAGCUUAGACUAAUCAUAUUCAACCGUCUUUAAAAUUGCAUAAUCUGGUUCCUUUACGCAAGCUUGAUGCUCUAUUACUUUUACUAUGAUUUUAAUAUUGUAUAUGGUAUGAUGAAUACUUUUAAGACGAAGAAUUAACUGUUAUUCCACGAAUACUAGUCAUCAUAUCGAAAUAUCAAUUAUUUUUAUAAUAUGUAAUUGUACCACCAUUUAAAUUUCUUAUUUGUUACAGGACAGAAACCUUAGUUCCCUUAAGUGUGCAUAUUGAGAAAUUUCAUCCUUGGAUAGUAUUGUCUUAACUACGUAGUUAAAUUUAAGAGAUGAUUCCUACACGAACCAAAAUUCGUUUUGUGAGGAUAUUAAAUAUUCCUCAAUAUAUAUUCAAAAAUGAAACUCUUCUUUUUCAAGUUUUCUUUAAAUGUAGAUUUCAAUGUAGACUUCAAAUGUAGUAUCUGAGGAGCGAUGUCCCCAUUAUCUGUACUGAACAUAUUUUUAGAUUAGAUAUUUUUUGGUUUCUUAUAUUCGCAUUUAUAUUGUAGUGAAUGUAGUAGAUAUAAGAAGAACUUCCGAAAACAUAUAACUUCCAAAAGUAUGUUAAGAAAUAAAAAUCGUUCGUUAUACGUGAAUAAAUAUGAAAGAACAAAACCUGCACUAGGCACGUUGCUAGAUCCUCGGUCAUCUAGUAACUAUGCCUGUACUGGUUAUAUAUUUGAGGCAGAAGGGGGCGCCGUACGUUGUGUUCGCGGCGCGUACGGCGCGAAGGACCGCAAGCUACGAUCAACCAGCAGUGCGUGCGUUACCAGCGCAGCGGACCUUUCGAUACGCAAUAUAAUAACAUAUCGCGCGUACGCGGCCGCGGCUCGUAUCCACCGCAUAAACUCUUAAAUGACUCGCAAUGAAUAGCCCAUAUCGCGGAAUCAUCUGCAUAGUACAAGUACGGCGCACUUCCCUCGUACUCUCCAUAUAUACGAGCAACAAUAUCCCGUGUGCUUCCCAUAACGAGUCGUGCUAUGGAUCAACCGAUGGGACGCGACGGUUCGACCGACCGGCGACGAGUCUCGGGGACGGUUACGACGACGGCCACGACUAUGAGAGAAAAAGAAGAGGAGGAAAAAGGAGAAAGAAGAAAAGAGCAAGGGUUCUGUACCCUACGGACAUUGUGACCCACGCACCGUCCUGCUAACUCUUAUAGCACCGCACGCUGCUCUUCCUCCUCUCCCGUUUUUCUUCCCGCUCCGUUCAUUCUUCUUUGCUUUCGUCUGCUUAUCGACCUUCCUCUCUCCAGCUUCAUCGCAGAACGCGUUAUGCCCGGCUACUCCCUCGCAGGGACUGGCGUGGGCCGUCAAAGAUUGACCUAGGUCUGGGUUCUGCGCCUGUGCACAGCGCGUCAUCCACCUCGCAUCCACGCGCGUGCUGCUUACUUGCACGCACCAACGCUUCCCAACCUGUCCUACAUCCCUCUAGUGCGCACGCGCUCGAGCCUCUUGUUCGUAUGUGAGGUUGUUUCGCGCAUAUACGAGGUAUGCGUGUAUAUGGUGACACAAUCCUGCAUGCAUAUGCAUCGACGUAAGACUGUUCUAUUCUGUUUCCAAUCAUAUGUCUGUGUCCUUCAUGCGUGUAGGUGCGUAUUUAAACGUGUGUUACAAUAGCGUUGCAAAGGCGAGUGGACGAACGAGGCCUGUUUAUCCUCGACGCAUAACUCUGCAACAUUAAACCGACUGCCGUGGGUCAGCGUAGAUUACGCAUAAAUCCAAAGGAGAAGCUAUUUACGACGUCAACCGACACCCAUUUUAAUCCUAUGGAUUUUUCCAUUUCAUUGUUCGACCCACUUGUUUUUGGACGGAUAAAAGAAUCUGUUAAGGUAGGGUAAUUUUAUCUUACGAAAAACAAAACGAGCGACGACAUUUGAUAACGUGUGAAUUCUGUUGAAUUCGAUCGGUUUCCAUGUGACCUACAUUUGUGCACUCCCGAAAAACCUACAGCUAAAAAAUUGGUUACAUGGCUCUAUUCCGUAGAAUCCAUUUAAUGUCGCAAAGUUUUAAUAGUUUAUAGUGUUAACAAUUUCUAAUUAUUUAAUUUCUUUUUAAUUGCAUAAUAACUGUACAAACAUCAUAAGUCAUCAGCUUACAUGGCGUUUAUGCGAUUAAUCGUCUUUCAUAUACUUUGAUCUGACGUAAAAUUAACACGAACAUCCACUAAAUUCUCAUCAACGACAAUAUGUAACACAAGUGGGAUUCAAAAUCAUCGUAUAAAUUCUCACAAUUGUUUCCUUGGCAGUAUGCCAAAUGGCGGGAAACAUGUAAGAGCAAUCAACCCCAUCUAUGUAACAAGAGCAAAGUCUCUUUUCUGUUGCGUUUUUCUGCCCUCUAUCAAGAUGCGUAGCCCCGGUAUAAAUCGGCAGUGUUCGAGAGCCGCAAAAAGCAUCCAUCUUAAAUAGAAUGUAUGCAGGUUGAAAUCGAGGUGACCGCGCGUCAGAUAUCAUAGUCUUGACGUUUCUUUUUUGGAAUCGACGGAUGAUGUGCCACGGGAUUAUAGCGUGCGUGUAAAACCGAGAGUUGAGAGUGACCGGUGAAGAAGAGUUUAGGGGAAUUGAACGCGAGCAAGGGAAGUGCGAAAAGGGAGGCGACGUUCGAGCGAGAAACAAGAAAAGAAGAAACGAAAUACGACGAAGGGGAACAUUGAGGAGCGGGGAAGAAAAUAGGGCGCGCACCGUAUAAUGUUGGCGCGAGAAAAAGUAUAAUGAGAGGGAAUCUCGCCGCUGUCGGCUGUUUGAAACGCAUUAAUCGUGACUCAGGAAUAAAAACAAAAAGAGGAGCGGAAAAAAAACAGACGGGUCGAUCCCUCGAAGCAUGAUGCGCGCAUGUAAGGUUCUUGUUCUUACGAACAGCGCAAGGUCGUCCGCUUCAGCGUUGCGGAGCAGCGUCAUGGUGGCAACGCCAGCGCGAGGUUUCUAGGAGGCUGGAGGAGAAGAACGAGCUUUGCGCGCCAGUAGAAAACCGGAUGCACACUUUUGCGCCCGUGUUGCACGGACGAGCGACCACCACUGCUGCCAUUAAUAACCGAAGGACCACGCCGCUAGACGGCAGGAUAGUGGUGGUACGGUUUACUUUCUUUGGAAUAACAAUUCUUAGAGAGUGUAUCCUCCCGUUGAUACACUUGCCCGCCUGUCAAUGGGGGCGCUACAUACCAUGGGAAAGUCUUAAGUUCUUCGAGAUCAUUUCAAGACUAUUCGAGCGAAUCGGCCGGAACCGCCCACGGAUGGGUUGGCACCCUGCCCUGCCCGUGCAUGUUCUCAUCUACACGUUUCGCAUACACGUACGCGUUGCGAUCAUACCUCCCCUUGCGCGCUCGCACGCGCAUUGACGCUUAUAAUUGAUGAAAUGACACUGGCCUAGCCUAGGAAGCGAACGGUCAAUGCUAUCGAGCCUUGGCGGCUCGCCUAGAGAAUUGAUGUUUGCUUCUUCUGUUAUUUUAUUACAAUAUAAAAAGAAAAAGAAGUAGUUGGAACUUUCAUGAGAAUCAAAAGGCAAUGGUAUGGGUUUGAUUUAAGGAAACGGCACAUGACGCGUUAUCAGGUAAAGUGAUAUUGGCCAUGCCGAGUACAGAUUGUCGAUUCAUUUGGAUACCCGUUGCAAAUGUAUAGCGGACUCUUUUAUGCACGCCGCGUCUUCACACCCAUUACGAACGCGAAUAUCACCUUCUAUUGUAGGAGGAUGAGCUGUCGAAGCUCUACCUCUUUUUUUCUUCACGAUGGUAAAGAGAUAAUAUCGAGUACAUUUUCUACCGUGUCAUGAUAAAUAAACGUUGGCUUUUGCCUUUCGGGUUGGCAGUGUUGUUGCGGUAAGAAUGUUGUUAGUUAUUUCAUUAAAUACUAGUCCGAUUAAUUUUAAUAUGCUACGACUACAAAAAAUUAAAUAGAUUCCUUCGUAGAUUAUUUGAGAUAGUAAAACGACCAUAUUAGUCAUUUUAAUUAUGUCUAGCCUAAAAUAUUCUUACCACCAUUGUAAACACUUGAAAGUAAUCUUAUUUUUAGUAUGUAUACUGUUUUUCAACUUGCAAAACAAGUUCUCACAGGCAUAUCGUGUCGUGGAUUUAAUAUUAUAUGUGCAAUGCACAAUGCACGAGCAAACAGCGUGCACGAACGGUACAAUUGUUAAGACAUCGAGCCAAGUUCCUUCGUCACUCUGCGUCGUUAAAGCGAUGCCUGAUCGAGUCCUCUGCUGGCUCAAGAAAACGAUCCAUUGUGAACCGUCAUGCCGCAUGAUUCCAGCAAUGACAAGCUGUUAUAAGUGGAUCUACAACAGCUUACAUUAAGUUACUUGACAAGUAAACAAUGAGAAGAAGGAUGAGAAGGAAUUUAAAAGAAUAUUUCAAGGUUGAGAAUAGUAAAGUGGCCUCAAGUUGCUUGAAUUCAGGUAACUUGACUAAUUUAAACGAGGCUUUACACACAAAUCAGAUAGGUAGAUAAUACAGCGGCAGUUAGUCGGGAAAAAGCCCAUAUCUGGUGAGUAUCUGGUCUCAUUCGUGCCAAUAUUACGUUGCAAGCAGGUAGGGUGCCAUUUACACACGAGCCAGGUCAGCGAUACAUAUUGGCCAGUCGGUUCGGAUCCACCGCUUAGAUGCUCUCUAUGGGUAGUUACCUGAGGAAAGAUGUAUCUCCCGGUACCAGGCUAGUACAAAUCGACUGGUCUCGACACACGGAUUUUAAGCCGAACUCGAACGGAAAGAAGAAGAAGGAGAUAUAGAUAAAUAGAUAGGGAGAGAAGAAUAUAAAACGGGGAAAGGGGGAUCAUGUAAAGAGGACAAGGAGAAGAAUAGGCGAAGAAAGAGAGAAAGGGAGGAAACACGGCGCGCAAUGCGGCAGGUAGAAUCGUAUCGGCAAAUUGCAAUCGACGACCGCCUUGUCGGCAACUCCCCGUGGCAACAGGAAAGCGCUGCCGAGAAAGAGGGAAAACGAAACUGAAAAGGGAGCACGACGAGGACAGAGAGGUUAUCUACUAUCCUACAAGUGAUACGAAUAUCCGGCAUUGUUUAGGUCUUCGGGGCUAAAGAGUUAUCGGUGGUUGAUCGUUCCAGGAAUCACAGCUUGGUAUUCUCAUUGAUACCUCUUCCUUCUUCUUCUUCUUCCUCUUCUUCUGCUUUUCAUACGCGUGGGUUGAACCAAUCUGGUUGAGGCUGUUGGAUGAAGUUAGGUCAGUUUGUACACGUUACCGGAGACGCGAGCAUCUCGUUCGAACCAUAAACCCGUAACGGGUUUCCACCAAAAUAGCAACGAGCUAUUAUUUCUAGCUUGCGAGCACACGAUGCGAAGACAACGGUGCUUUCAAUCUUUUUUUGAUCGUGAACGCGGGAUAUAGUUAUCCCGUGAAUCGAGAUCAGUAGAAUUUAUAGCGAUGGUGAACGAUUUCCUGUACGGUGGAAUUUUCUGCGUCCUACUUCUUCGGGUUUUGUGUAGGAAUUAUGUCACAUAUGUGACAUAUUUAUUAUACUAGUUUGACAUAUCGUAAAAUUUUUCUGCAUGUUAGUUUUCAAGACCUAGAUAAGUGGAUGUAAGUGACAUAAUAUUCAGUAUUUGCCAUUUGAUGGAUGUGGCAUUCAAGUAUUUGCGAAGAAGUGAACUGUAGAUAAUGUUCACUAAACAAAAAUGCAAUUCAUAACACGAUUAUCGCCUGAAAAAAGCCUAAAAACGUGACGUUCAUUAUUAAGCUUGAAAGCUUAAAAUCUAAUAAUUCUAACAGUAUCGAUCACUAUGAAUGACUAUCAUGAAUCGCGAAACAGCUAGACAAAUCCGUUAAAGUAAGCAAGCAGAUGUUUUCGCACGGGGUAAGCCAUGAGGCGUGCGAAGAUUUGUUAAUAGUACAACUAUUUCGAGAAUCUCGGGAUCUCACGGUUGAACCUUUUAACCUCUUAUCUAUCUCGCCCGACCUCAAGCUGUUAUUUGCGAGCGCUUAAAACUCUCUGCCAGUUUAGAAGUUGAUGUUGUCUAGCGCUAGAGUUUCUUACUUUGCCAUGCUUCGUUGUUACUGUUACUGUCGCAUGUACAUCAGCUGUUAGGUGUAUAAACGAUACACCAACGGCAAUUCGUAUUACUGACUGUGAGAAAUCAUAACUGGGGAAUGGACGAGAGGAAGAAGGCAGCAACGCGUAAAGCCGCGCUCCGCGAUACGUCGUGUCUCGUUCGAGUUCUGAAAAAGACGUCAGGAGACGUCUGCCCCCGGGAGGCACGCACUAGCUCCAUUCCGUUUUCUUCCUUUCGCUUUUAAUCUGCAUUUAUUUCGACUUUACCUACUAGAAGGUAAUCUAAUUUCAAUCUCUUCCUUUUUGUGCUUCUCGGAUUUUCCCCACGGCUUUGCUUUCUUCGAUCUUUCAUUUACAUUUGACCGUGUAUUUAUCGGGACAUGAAUUAGUUCCUUUUUUCAUGGUUGAGUUAAAUUCUUUUACGUUCAUUGCGUAUGUGCGACAUUGUAUCUUUAUAAGUUAUUAAUUAAUUAGACAAUUAAUGAAGCUAGUCUUUCAGGGAGAGCAGUUUUAGGAUACAAUACGCUGUAAAUCAAUCCUAUGUUUCUAAAAUUGUCUUUUUAUUUGAUUUUCGAGCUAGACAUGUUUGUCUUUAUCCUUUUUCAUGUCUGUAAAAUAUUGAGAAAUAGUCAUAAAUCGAACUAUUUAACUUUAUAAUAUUCAUAAGAUGGAUUAUCUAACCUCACGCUUUCAUAUUAAAUAUUAAAAAAAUAAAUAAAUAUAAAAAUAAAGAUGCUAAUGAUUGUUAGACAAUGAAACUACAUAGGAACAUGUAGUAUACAUCCGUAUUUCAAAGUACUAAAUUUUAAAGAAAUAUACCACCUUCCAUGGUUUCUAAAGUUGCUAGAAAAGUGAUCUAAGGGAAGAAUACGUGGAAAGGUUCCAAUUCAAAACAACUAUAUUGGCGGUUUACUGUUUAUUCAAGAGGCCGUACCGAUCGAGUGGAAACGUUCAUGUCCCUGACACGAAGCAGCAGUAACCCUAGUCGAGGAUCUAGAUGCGAUCGUUACAAUGUCGGCUGAGACGGAGUGGCGUGAGUCGCGGUCGCUUGUCGGAAUAGAUGUUACCGUCAGCCACUACGAGACACCUCAGCGAUCACGCAGAACGAAAUCGUUUAUUUACUGAAUGGCAGAUUCGCUUAUUCAUUGCUGCGAUUUUUUAAAUAAUUCAAACAUUAGGAGUAAAAUUCCGAUCGAAGUAGCAAUGGGAUAACUGUAAAGGUUCGAGGGAUAUUCUUCUGAAUGGCAUCGAUUGAUAAGGACGAAAGGCAUAAAAGUCAUAAAAUUCACGAAAAUGGACUUAUAUGUAUAUUAUCCUCGUGUGAUCAUUAUAUCGUACGAAUCUGCAUCUUCCGAGUGCGUGAAGUGCCGAAGUUGAGAUUUCAUAUUUGAGAUCCACCAUCUCUCUCCAUGAGACUGAUAUAUGCUAAUUAUUAUCUUGGUCGAUGCCCUUUCGCAGUACAGACGUUUCCAGAGGCGUGAAAGCCGUUUUCGAAACAACAAACUGUUUCAUAGAAUUUCAUACAAAGAUGAUAGCUGUCAUAUGUCUUUCUAGGGGAUAUACAAGAGCGAUCUCGUCGGCAAAUGAAAGAUAGCUCGCGAGACGAUAGCAAUCCGCGUCAAGAAUAGCUCUCAGCGUGAAAAGGGCUUCCAAUUGCUUCCUGGUUGCUCGAUAACAGCCUCCACCCUGGCGGAGGACGAUAAUCCUGGAUUAACAACAGGACGUCGAGUAUCGAUUGUUUAUCGUGUGAAAGCCGCUCGUGAACGAUCGUCCAUUACGUUCGCCAUGUUGCACGCCGUCCCGCUUCUGCGAAGGGAUGGUCUCUCGAAUAACCUUUCUCGGUAUCUGCCCUCAGUAAUCUCUUCGCAAUGAAGUUACUCUCUCUCUUUCUCUCUCUCUCUCUCUGCCUCUUACUCAGUCUCUCUUUUGAUCCGGAAAUUCACAGAAUAUCGCUCGUAAACGCGAUACAUUGCGAGAAAAUAGUAAUAAAGUCGUCCGUGCUGCGACCUCUUCCGGGAAAGUUUGAAAAUUGUAGGGGGCGCAACUGUGUUAGAGGAACCAGUGAAAGGAGGACUUGCAAGCAUUAUGGGAAGACAUCUCGUUUAGAUUUACUUGAUUCUCCGAGGGAAAGUUUUUUAUAAAAUAGGAAAAUAAGUCCCUCCUGAUAAAAGAUUCAACUUUUUUUGGUAAAUUAUUUGAUAUUGUUUUCUGUUGGAUUGUAAUAACUUCUUCCCAAUCAACUAACCAUGUUACUAAAUUCAACAAAACAAAUUUCCUUGUCACGUAUUAUUCCCAGAGUUUUAACCUGUCAACUGCUAUAAAAACUUCAGUUUAAGAACCUCACA